rnacentral:rRNA from 1 species
GAUGAACGCUGGCGGCGUGCCUAACACAUGCAAGUCGAGCGAACAGACGAGGAGCUUGCUCCUUUGACGUUAGCGGCGGACGGGUGAGUAACACGUGGAUAACCUACCUAUAAGACUGGGAUAAUUUCGGGAAACCGGAGCUAAUACCGGAUAAUAUUUCGAACCGCAUGGUUCGAUAGUGAAAGAUGGCUUUGCUAUCACUUAUAGAUGGACCUGCGCCGUAUUAGCUAGUUGGUAAGGUAACGGCUUACCAAGGCAACGAUACGUAGCCGACCUGAGAGGGUGAUCGGCCACACUGGAACUGAGACACGGUCCAGACUCCUACGGGAGGCAGCAGUAGGGAAUCUUCCGCAAUGGGCGAAAGCCUGACAGAGCAACGCCGCGUGAGUGAUGAAGGUCUUCGGAUCGUAAAGCUCUGUUAUUAGGGAAGAACAAACGUGUAAGGAACUGUGCACGUCUUGACGGUACCUAAUCAGAAAGCCACGGCUAACUACGUG